rnacentral:lncRNA from 1 species
AAGUGCAGAAGAGAGAAAUGAUAAUGAAAAAGAAAACGUUGAGAGGAAUGAUGAAACAGGAUAUAACAAAGAAGCAGAGAACAAAGAAAAUGAAAGCGAAGACAUCCAAGAAAAGAGCAAUGAAGAUGGUGACACCACAGGAAAUGAAGAUAGCAAAGAGAAUGUAAGUGAAGAGACUUUAGAAAAGGUUAAUGGAGAAGGUGAUGCUACAAAUAAUGAAGAAAGCAAAGAGGGUGAAAGUGAAGAGAAGCAUGAACAAAGCAACGGAGAAAAUGACACCAUGGGAAAUGAAGAUAGCAAAGAGAAUGGAAGUGAAGAGAAGCAUCAAAGCAGUGAAGAAAAUGUCACCACGGGAAAUGAAGAUAGCAAAGAGAAUGGAAGUGAAGAGAAGCAUGAGGAAAGCAGUGAAGAAAAUGUCACCACAGGAAAUGAAGAUAGCAAAGAGAACGGAAGUGAAGAGAAGCAUGAGGAAAGCAGUGAAGAAAAUGUCACCACAGGAAAUGAAGAUGGCAAAGAGAAUGGAAGUGAAGAGAAGCAUGAGGAAAGCAGUGAAGAAAAUGACACCACGGGAAAUGUGGAGAGCAAAGAGAUCCAAGAAAAGAACACUGGUGAAAUUCUUAGUACAAAUAAUGAAGAUAACAAAGAGAAUGGAAAUGAAGAGGCCCUAGAAAAGAACAAUGGAGAAAAUGUUAUCUCAAAUAAUGAAGAUGGCAAAGAGAAUGAAAGUGAAGAGACCCAAGAAAAGAGCAAUGGAGAAAAUGAAAAUAUCCAGGAAAAGAACAGUGACGAAAAUGAGACAACAGGAAAUGGAGAUAGCAAAGAGAAGGGAAGUGAAGAGACUCCAGAAAAUGGCUCUGGAGAAAAUGUUGCUACUAAUAAUGAAGAUAGCAAAGAGAAUGGAAGCGAGGAGACUGAACAAAAGAGCAAUGAACAAAAUGAUACUGCAGAAAAUAAAGAUGGCAAAGAGAAUGGAAGUGAGGAGUCUGAACAAAAGAACAAUGAACAAACUGACACCGCAGAAAAUGGAAAUGGCAAAGAGAAUGAAAGUGAGGAGACCCGUGAUAAGAGCAAUGAAGAGAAUGAUCAUGCGGAAAAUGGGGAGAGCAAGGAGAACAAAGUAGAGGAAGGUGAAAGUAAGGGGAUUGAAGAAGAGAAACUUAGAAAUGAGAAGUUGAUUGAGAGCAAAUCAACUAGUGAGGAACAUGGAG